rnacentral:rRNA from 1 species
UACGUAGGGUGCAGGCGUUAAUCGGAAUUACUGGGCGUAAAGCGUGCGCAGGCGGUUUGCUAAGACAGGUGUGAAAUCCCCGAGCUUAACUUGGGAACUGCGCUUGUAACUGGCAAGCUAGAGUGUGGCAGAGGGGGGUGGAAUUCCACGUGUAGCAGUGAAAUGCGUAGAGAUGUGGAGGAACACCGAUGGCGAAGGCAGCCCCCUGGGCUAACACUGACGCUGAGACGCGAAAGCGUGGGAAGCAAACAGG